AGGCGAACCGGGGGAACUGAAACAUCUAAGUACCCCGAGGAAAAGAAAUCAACCGAGAUUCCCCCAGUAGCGGCGAGCGAACGGGGAGCAGCCCAGAGCCUGAAUCAGUGUGUGUGUUAGUGGAAGCGUCUGGAAAGGCGCGCGAUACAGGGUGACAGCCCCGUACACAAAAAUGCACAUAUUGUGAGCUCGAUGAGUAGGGCGGGACACGUGGUAUCCUGUCUGAAUAUGGGGGGACCAUCCUCCAAGGCUAAAUACUCCUGACUGACCGAUAGUGAACCAGUACCGUGAGGGAAAGGCGAAAAGAACCCCGGCGAGGGGAGUGAAAAAGAACCUGAAACCGUGUACGUACAAGCAGUGGGAGCACGCUUAGGCGUGUGACUGCGUACCUUUUGUAUAAUGGGUCAGCGACUUAUAUUCUGUAGCAAGGUUAACCGAAUAGGGGAGCCGAAGGGAAACCGAGUCUUAACUGGGCGUUAAGUUGCAGGGUAUAGACCCGAAACCCGGUGAUCUAGCCAUGGGCAGGUUGAAGGUUGGGUAACACUAACUGGAGGACCGAACCGACUAAUGUUGAAAAAUUAGCGGAUGACUUGUGGCUGGGGGUGAAAGGCCAAUCAAACCGGGAGAUAGCUGGUUCUCCCCGAAAGCUAUUUAGGUAGCGCCUCGUGAAUUCAUCUCCGGGGGUAGAGCACUGUUUCGGCAAGGGGGUCAUCCCGACUUACCAACCCGAUGCAAACUGCGAAUACCGGAGAAUGUUAUCACGGGAGACACACGGCGGGUGCUAACGUCCGUCGUGAAGAGGGAAACAACCCAGACCGCCAGCUAAGGUCCCAAAGUCAUGGUUAAGUGGGAAACGAUGUGGGAAGGCCCAGACAGCCAGGAUGUUGGCUUAGAAGCAGCCAUCAUUUAAAGAAAGCGUAAUAGCUCACUGGUCGAGUCGGCCUGCGCGGAAGAUGUAACGGGGCUAAACCAUGCACCGAAGCUGCGGCAGCGACGCUUAUGCGUUGUUGGGUAGGGGAGCGUUCUGUAAGCCUGUGAAGGUGUGCUGUGAGGCAUGCUGGAGGUAUCAGAAGUGCGAAUGCUGACAUAAGUAACGAUAAAGCGGGUGAAAAGCCCGCUCGCCGGAAGACCAAGGGUUCCUGUCCAACGUUAAUCGGGGCAGGGUGAGUCGACCCCUAAGGCGAGGCCGAAAGGCGUAGUCGAUGGGAAACAGGUUAAUAUUCCUGUACUUGGUGUUACUGCGAAGGGGGGACGGAGAAGGCUAUGUUGGCCGGGCGACGGUUGUCCCGGUUUAAGCGUGUAGGCUGGUUUUCCAGGCAAAUCCGGAAAAUCAAGGCUGAGGCGUGAUGACGAGGCACUACGGUGCUGAAGCAACAAAUGCCCUGCUUCCAGGAAAAGC
rnacentral:rRNA from 1 species